rnacentral:tRNA from 1 species
UGGCUCAGUGAUUAAGGGCACUGGAUGCUCUUCCAGAGGACCUGGGUUCAAUUCCCAG